rnacentral:rRNA from 1 species
AAAUUGAAGAGUUUGAUCAUGGCUCAGAUUGAACGCUGGCGGCAGGCCUAACACAUGCAAGUCGAACGGUAACAGGAAGUAGCUUGCUGCUUCGCUGACGAGUGGCGGACGGGUGAGUAAUGUCUGGGAAACUGCCUGAU